AGAUUCGGCCUCACCGNUCCCAACGAUUUGU
rnacentral:rRNA from 1 species